rnacentral:misc_RNA from 1 species
UUUCCGUAGGUGAACCUGCGGAAGGAUCAUUGUCGUGACCCUGACCAAAACAGACCGCGCACGCGUCAUCCAAUCCGUCGGUGACGGCACCGUCCGUCGCUCGGCCUAUGCCUCGACCACCUCCCCUCCACGGAGUGGGUGGGGGCUCGAGGCAAAAGAACCCACGGCGCCGAAGGCGUCAAGGAACACUGUGCCUAACACGGGGCCAUGGCUAGCUUGCUAGCUGUGACUCGUGUUGCAAAGCUAUUUAAUCCACACGACUCUCGGCAACGGAUAUCUCGGCUCUC